rnacentral:rRNA from 1 species
UGCCCUGGAGUCCGGGAUAACNCCNCGAAAGCGGUGCUAAUACCGGAUACGUCUCCGAUACCGCAUGGUAUUGGAGGGAAAGGUGGCGCUCCGAACCGCAAGGAACGGAGCUAUCACUCCAGGAGGGACCUGCGGCCCAUCAGCUAGUUGGUAGGGUAACGGCCUACCAAGGCGAUUGACGGGUAACUGGCCUGAGAGGGUGGUCAGUCACACUGGGACUGAGACACUGCCCAGACUCCUACGGGAGGCUGCAGUCGAGAAUCUUUCGCAAUGGGGGAAACCCUGACGAUGCGACGCCGCGUGCAGGAUGAAGGCCUUCGGGUCGUAAACUGCUGUCGAGAGGGACGAAGUCCCGACCUGCUAAC